GAUGAACGCUGGCGGCGUGCCUAAUACAUGCAAGUCGAGCGAACAGACGAGGAGCUUGCUCCUCUGACGUUAGCGGCGGACGGGUGAGUAACACGUGGAUAACCUACCUAUAAGACUGGGAUAACUUCGGGAAACCGGAGCUAAUACCGGAUAAUAUAUUGAACCGCAUGGUUCAAUAGUGAAAGACGGUUUUGCUGUCACUUAUAGAUGGAUCCGCGCCGCAUUAGCUAGUUGGUAAGGUAACGGCUUACCAAGGCAACGAUUCGUAGCCGACCUGAGAGGGUGAUCGGCCACACUGGAACUGAGACACGGUCCAGACCCCUACGGGAGGCAGCAGUAGGGAAUCUUCCGCAAUGGGCGAAAGCCUGACGGAGCAACGCCGCGUGAGUGAUGAAGGUCUUCGGAUCGUAAAACUCUGUUAUUAGGGAAGAACAAAUGUGUAAGUAACUAUGCACGUCUGACGGUACCUAAUCAGAAAGCCACGGCUAACUACGUG
rnacentral:rRNA from 1 species